AGCAGAGUGGAGCAGUGGUAGCUCGUCGGGCUCAUAACCCGAAGGUCAAAAGUUCAAUUCUUUUCUCUGCAACCA
rnacentral:tRNA from 1 species